UAAAAAAAUAAUUUUGCUGAGAGAUUACUAUGUAAUUUUUGACAUAAUAACUUGGAAAGCAUCCAAAAAAGUUGAGUAGCAUCGCUAUAAGACAACUUUCAUUCAUAUAUGAACAAGUCUUCUAAGUAUUGAUAUGGUUUGGAUCUGUGUCCUCACCCAAAUGUCAUGCUCAAUUGUAAUCCCAAAUGUUGGAGGUAGGGCCUGGUGGGAGGUAUUGGAUCAUGGGGGUGGAUUCUUCAUGAAUGGUUUAGCACUAACCCUUCGGUGAUAUAGAGUUUUCCUGAGAUCUGGUUAAGUGUGUGGCAGCUCCCCUCUCUCUUCCUCCUGCUCUGGCAGUGUAAGACACCUCCUCUCCCUUAGUCUUCUGCCAUGACUGUAAGUUUCCUGAGACCUUCCUGGA
rnacentral:lncRNA from 1 species